CCUAACUACACGCCAGGCUGAAUGUCCAAAGGUUGUUCGCACAGGAAAAACCUUAGGAGCAUCCUGCUAGGGGCUGGUGUGCCAGGCAGACAUCAUUGUGAAAUCCCACAGUGUGCAAGCAACCUGUGCCAUCCUGUAUUUGGGUUUGGGUUGCCAGAAGCAGAUCCUGGUAUGAGGGUUUCUGUGCAAGGGAUUUAUUUAAAAAGUAUUCCUAGGAGAGAAUUAUCAGUGUGUGGUGAGGCAGGCUGGAGAGGAAGUAGCCAAGCAAGGGUAUGGACUUAGCAUAGUCCUAGGUGCAGCCUGAUCCUCAGGGGGCAAUGCAGGGAUUGUCCCUACUUGAGUCAGGGAACUGGGCUUUCCUGGGGCAUGACAUAAUCACUCCCUCUGAGAGGCCCCAGGGCAAUGUCAGCUCCCAUACCUGUGUUCUCU
rnacentral:lncRNA from 1 species